GGAGUCAGUCCAGAAGCCUUCAGAUAACACCAGGGUGUAGUCCUGGCGAGAAAUCUUCAGUUGCUUCAGGACCUUUUCUAGCCCCACACGACGGCUAGGUCCUCCGUGAGAGAAAACUGGUUCGAGAAGCAUGGCCAACAUUCCCAAUGAUCCGCAGAUGUGGUUUCCACCUGGCCGGUGCCAUGACACCCGCACACAUGGCGACAAGGAGAAGGGAGAAGAAAACCUAUUUGUUGUAUAUACCUGGCUUUUGGCACAGCUGCCGGGAUUCACCUGUGCAAGUUUCCAGCUUGCUUAUCUAUGCUUGCAGCUUGAUUUUUCAGGCUACUUUCUGUUAGAAAAGAAAUGAUUUGGGGGCUGCUUUCUAUUAAAAGAAAAACCUUACCAAGGACUCCUGUACCCUCACUAUCUGCCUAAAUAAUUUCUUAACGCCUAUAUUAUUCCCUUUAAAUAAAAUUUUUUGUGGUGUUUGUCUUAUUGUUAUUAGGUUAUGAGAAUUCAUUAUAUAUUCAAGAAAUAUAUAAUUCAUUAUAUAAAAAUAGUUUUAUAAAUUAAAUAUAAAUAUAUAAAUAUAUAAUUUAUUACAUAGGAAAUAUAUUCAGUCCUUUUUGGGAAAUAUUUUCUCUCAGUCUAUAGUUUGUCCUUUCUUAUACUUAACAGUAUGUUUUUUAGAGCAGAAGGUUUUACUUUAAAAAAUUAUUAAUAUUAUUUUGACUGAUAUCUUUGACUAGAACAUUACUGGUGUAUAGAAAUGGCGCUGAUAUCUGUACAUUAAUUUUGUAUCCUUAAACUUUAACUGAAUUC
rnacentral:lncRNA from 1 species